rnacentral:rRNA from 1 species
GAUGAACGCUGUCGGCGUGCCUAAUACAUGCAAGUCGAGCGAACAGACGAGGAUCUUGCUCCUCUGACUUUAGCGGCGGACGGGUGAGUAACACGUGGAUAACCUACCUAUAAGACUGGGAUAACUUCGGGAAACCGGAGCUAAUACCGGAUAAUAUAUUGAACCGCAUGGUUCAUUAGUGAAAGACGUUUUUGCUUUCACUUUUAGAUGGAUCCGCACCGCAUUAGCUAGUUGGUAAGGUAACGUCUUACUAAGGCAACUAUGCGUAGCCGACCUGAGAGGGUGAACAGCAACACUGGAAAGGAGAAACAGUUCAGACACAUAAGGGAGGCAGCAGUAGGGAAACUUCAGAAAUGGGCGAAAGACUGAAGGAGCAACGAAGCGUGAGUGAUGAAGGGCUACGGAUCGGAAAACUCUGUUAUAAGGGAAGAACAAAUGUGGAAGUAACUAUGCACGUCUUGACGGAACCGAAUCAGAAAGACACGGAUAACUAAGUG